UACGAAGGGUGCAAGCGUUAAUCGGAAUUACUGGGCGUAAAGGGUGCGUAGGCGGUUCGUUAAGUCUGUCGUGAAAUCCCCGGGCUCAACCUGGGAAUUGCAUUUGAGACUGCACGGCUAGAGUGUGUCAGAGGGGGGUAGAAUUCCACGUGUAGCAGUGAAAUGCGUAGAGAUGUGGAGGAACACCGAUGGCGAAGGCAGGUCUCUGGGCCACUACUGACGCUGAGAAGCGAAAGCAUGGGGAGCGAACAGG
rnacentral:rRNA from 1 species